rnacentral:rRNA from 1 species
UACGAAGGGUGCAAGCGUUACUCGGAAUUACUGGGCGUAAAGCGUGCGUAGGUGGUGAGUUAAGUCUGUCGUGAAAGCCCCGGGCUCAACCUGGGAAUGGCGAUGGAUACUGGCUCGCUAGAGUGCGGUAGAGGAGAGUGGAAAUUCCCGGUGUAGCAGUGAAAUGCGUAGAGAUCGGGAGGAACAUCAGUUGCGGAAGGCGGCUCUCUGGAUCAGCACUGACACUGGAGGCACGAAAGCGUGGGGAGCAAACAGG